rnacentral:rRNA from 1 species
UUNAUUCGACGCAACGCGCAGAACCUUACCAACCNUUGACAUACUUGUCGCGGAUUCCAGAGAUGGAUUCCUUCAGUUCGGCUGGACAAUGUACAGGUGCUGCAUGGCUGUCGUCAGCUCGUGUCGUGAGAUGUUCGGUUAAGUCCGGCAACGAGCGCAACCCACGUCCUUAGUUACCAGCAUUUAGUUGGGUACCCUAAGGAGACUGCCGGUGAUAAGCCGGAGGAAGGUGUGGACGACGUCAAGUCAUCAUGGCCCUUACGGGUUGGGCUACACACGUGCUACAAUGGCAUCUACAGUGAGUUAAUCUCCAAAAGAUGUCUCAGUUCGGAUUGGGGUCUGCAACUCGACCCCAUGAAGUUGGAAUCGCUAGUAAUCGCGGAACAGCAUGCCGCGGUGAAUACGUUCCCGGGCCUUGUACACACCGCCCGUCACACCANUGGGAAUUGGGUCUACCCGAAGGUGGUGCGCCAACUAUU